rnacentral:rRNA from 1 species
CUACGGGUGGCAGCAGUGGGGAAUAUUGGACAAUGGGCGAAAGCCUGAUCCAGCCAUGCCGCGUGUGUGAAGAAGGCCUUCGGGUUGUAAAGCACUUUCAGUGGGGAAGAAAGCCUUGGGGCUAAUACCCUCGAGGAAGGACAUCACCCACAGAAGAAGCACCGGCUAACUGCCGUGCCAGCAGCCGCGGUAAUACGGAGGGUGCGAGCGUUAAUCGGAAUUACUGGGCGUAAAGCGCGCGUAGGCGGUCUGAUAAGCCGGUUGUGAAAGCCCCGGGCUCAACCUGGGAACGGCAUCCGGAACUGUCAGGCUAGAGUGCAGGAGAGGAAGGUAGAAUUCCCGGUGUAGUGGUGAAAUGCGUAGAGAUCGGGAGGAAUACCAGUGGCGAAGGCGGCCUUCUGGACUGACACUGACGCUGAGGUGCGAAAGCGUGGGUAGCAAACAGGAUUAGAUACCCGAGUAGUC